CUCCAUUCGAAAUCGACGCACAUUUCACCUAGUUCUACUGAAAAGGAACCGAAACUCCCGAUCUCCUUUCCCGAGGCUAAUAUUCGUGCGGCCACCAGGCAAACCGAUCAAUAAUCCGGGAAGCGAAGCGCAGGCUUAGUUAGGCUUUUCACACUAAAAUUUUUGAAGCUGAUUAUUUUUAAUAAACACCAUCUGCUAUCAAACAUUAGUGGUUUGGUCUGCGUUUACUUCCGGAAGAAUCAACAUUCUUCAAAAAUUUUAAUCCACGAUGAGUCUGAUCGGAAACGAUGUUGGUCAACGAGGAGGAGAUCCGGAACCAGCGCGAACAACAAGAGGCGAGGAAUCUA